UACAUAGGGAGCAAGCGUUAUCCGGAAUUACUGGGCGUAAGGGUGCGUAGGCGGAUUUUUAAGUCAGCGGUAAAAUGUCCGGGCUCAACCCGGGCCGGCCGUUGAAACUGGGGAUCUUGAGUGGGCGAGAAGUAUGCGGAAUGCGUGGUGUAGCGGUGAAAUGCAUAGAUAUCACGCAGAACUCCGAUUGCGAAGGCAGCAUACCGGCGCCCGACUGACGCUGAGGCACGAAAGCGUGGGGAUCGAACAGG
rnacentral:rRNA from 1 species